UACGGAGGGUGCAAGCGUUAUCCGGAUUCACUGGGUUUAAAGGGUGCGUAGGCGGGCAGGUAAGUCCGUGGUGAAAUCUCUGAGCUUAACUCAGAAACUGCCAUGGAUACUAUUUGUCUUGAAUAUUGUGGAGGUAAGCGGAAUAUGUCAUGUAGCGGUGAAAUGCUUAGAUAUGACAUAGAACACCAAUUGCGAAGGUAGCUUACUACACAGUUAUUGACGCUGAGGCACGAAAGCGUGGGGAUCAAACAGG
rnacentral:rRNA from 1 species